rnacentral:rRNA from 1 species
AAAUGAAUUGACGGGGACCCGCACAAGUAGCGGAGCAUGUGGUUUAAUUCGAAGCAACGCGAAGAACCUUACCUAAGCUUGACAUCCCUCUGAAAGCCCCUUAAUCGGGGCCCCUCUUCGGAGCAGAGGUGACAGGUGGUGCAUGGUUGUCGUCAGCUCGUGUCGUGAGAUGUUGGGUUAAGUCCCGCAACGAGCGCAACCCUUGUCUUUAGUUGCCAGCAGCUUGGCUGGGCACUCUAGAGAGACUGCCGAGGAUAACUCGGAGGAAGGUGGGGAUGACGUCAAAUCAUCAUGCCCCUUAUGCUUAGGGCUACACACGUGCUACAAUGGCUGUUACAAAGGGUUGCCAAGCCGCGAGGUGGAGCUAAUCCCAUAAAGACAGUCUAAGUUCGGAUUGCAGGCUGAAACUCGCCUGCAUGAAGCUGGAGUUACUAGUAAUCGCAGAUCAGAAUGCUGCGGUGAAUGCGUUCCCGGGUCUUGUACACACCGCCCGU